UACGUAGGGGGGCAAGCGUUGUCCGGAUUUAUUGGGCGUAAAGCGCUCGCAGGUGGCCUGCUGCGUCGUGCGUUGAAAGACCCCCGGCUCAACUGGGGGAGGUCGUGCGAUACGGGCGGCUGGAGGCCAGUAGGGGGAUGCGGAAUUCCGGGUGUAGUGGUGGAAUGCGUAGAGAUCGGAAAGAACACCAACGGCGAAAGCAACUCUGCUGGGCCGACACUGACACUGAGAGACGAAAGCUAGGGGAGCGAAUGGG
rnacentral:rRNA from 1 species